AGGGCACCACCAGGAGUGGAGCCUGCGGCUUAAUUUGACUCAACACGGGGAAACUCACCCGGCCCGGACACCGUAAGGAUUGACAGAUUGAGAGCUCUUUCUUGAUUCGGUGGGUGGUGGUGCAUGGCCGUUCUUAGUUGGUGGAGCGAUUUGUCUGGUUAAUUCCGAUAACGAACGAGACUCUAGCCUACUAAAUAGACAGUGAAUCGUUAGUUCACUGUACUUCUUAGAGGGACAAGCGGCGUCUAGCUGCACGAGAUUGAGCAAUAACAGGCCUGUGAUGCCCUUAGAUGUUCGGGGCUGCACGCGCGCUACACUGAAGGAAUCAACGUGCAUUACAACCUUAUCCGGAAGGAUUCGGUAACCCGUUGAAACUCCUUCGUGAUUGGGAUAGGGAAUUGCAAUUAUUUCCCUUGAACGAGGAAUUCCCAGUAAGUGCGGGUCAUCAGCUCGCGUUGAUUACGUCCCUGCCCUUUGUACACACCGCCCGUCGCUACUACCGAUUGGAUGAUUUAGUGA
rnacentral:rRNA from 1 species